rnacentral:lncRNA from 1 species
UCCCGGCAUUUUGUGCCAUUCCAUUCCUGAGAGUGCCAUCACACAGGCCAUCCACCCUGGACGGGAGGGGAUUCCACAGGGAUGUGUGACCAGGAUUCAGGGGUGCCAGGAGCCACUGUGGGGACUGCCCAGCACACGGGCACAGACGAGGCCCUGGGACCUGAGCCUAACCUUAAUGGGAGCCCCUGGAAAUCUGCGUCACCAGGGGACAAGGCAGCCCCCUGCCCAGCUCAUUUCGUUGGAAAUCCUCAAACCAAGACGCUCACAUGCUGCUUUCUGAGGUCCGGAGGCUGUAGGCAGAAGAAAGCGUGCCCUGCAUACGCUGUCCUCCGCUGGGGAUUUCAUGUCAGGGCUCCCCACCACCUCUGGCCAUUUGGCCAGAAGGACAGAGGUGACACCAGGAGGCCCAAGGCCAGCCACCCAGCCCCACUCGCUCUGAUGACCUGUGUAGACCCAGAAGGCCACGGAGGACAUGGAGAGGCAGCUGGCGGACAUGCCCUCCUCCUUGACAGAGUGACAGAGGGGUUGACCCCACAGGCAUCCCGAGAAUGGUGCUGGGGAAUUGCCAGGCAAGACCUCCGACACCACAUGGACCACUGUCCCAGGUGGUUGUUCACUGGACAGUGGUCCAGGAGCAGGAGCCCACGGAGGCCGAGGGUGAGAAGCCUGGGGCUGGGUGUUUGUGGUGUGUGGGGACGGGUUGGUGCUGGCCCCACAGGGAGGAGCCACCAGAGGCUGGUGUGGGGCCAGGAGCAACGACUGGGCACAGAGCACACAGCGGGUGGACUGCAGUUGGGGAGAUGUCCCCGUGAGGGGUCCUUCCCGGCUGUGGCUUCUCUGGGAGACCCUGGGCUGGGCUCUGUCUCUGCAAAAGCCCAAAGAGAGUAAGCACGUGGGUGAGCUUAACUCCUCUCACAGCUGCUCCACCACCUGAGGAGCUAGAGCCGGAUCUGGAGGGAGGGCUGGUGCCUGCAGUGACUUCAGUAGGAGACCAGGAGCCAGCAGGUGACCCGGCACCUGCCCACGGAGAGCCUGGCGCUGUCCAGGAAGAACUGGCACCUGAUCCUGCCCCAGCACCUGCCCCUGCUACAGUUCCUGCCACUCCCCCUUCCCCCACCCUAGCCACUGCUCCUGCCUCGGACCCAGAUCCUGCCCCUGCUCCUGCCCCUAUACUAACCCCUGCCCCUACUCCUGCUCCUGCAGGGCUCACACGGCCACAUCCAGAGCCCACAGCCCUGCAGGGGGAGCUCCUUGUACAAUUACCCUUAUGUCCAUCGCUGGAACACGAGACCCCGCCCGAUUGUUUCAUCCCCUCCCCCUAUGUUCUUUCUCUCUGGUACAUAUUAACUAUUAUUUUAUCCUUCCAUGUCCUAUAUACUGUGUAUUAUUUGUUUUAAAUAAAAUUACUUGUUUUCAAUUGAACACGUCAUAAGCAUUAAGUACAUGCCCAACGCUGUGCCACCACACCCCAGAAUAUUGCCGCAGAAUAUCUCAUUCCCCAAAGGAGUCCCCGAACCAGAAGCCCUCCUUGCCCAUUUCUCC